UACGGAGGAUGCAAGCGUUAUCCGGAUUUAUUGGGUUUAAAGGGUGCGCAGGUUGUUUGAUAAGUCAGUGGUGAAAGUCUGUCGCUUAACGGUAGGAUUGCCAUUGAUACUGUUGGACUUGAAUAUGGAUGAGGUAGGCGGAAUGUGUAGUGUAGCGGUGAAAUGCAUAGAUAUUACACAGAACACCGAUUGCGAAGGCAGCUUACUAAUCCAUCAUUGACGCUGAGGCGACGAAAGACGUGGGGAGUCAAACA
rnacentral:rRNA from 1 species